UACGGAAGGUCCGGGCGUUAUCCGGAUUUAUUGGGUUUAAAGGGAGCGUAGGCCGGAGAUUAAGUGUGUUGUGAAAUGUAGACGCUCAACGUCUGACUUGCAGCGCAUACUGGUUUCCUUGAGUACGCACAACGUUGGCGGAAUUCGUCGUGUAGCGGUGAAAUGCUUAGAUAUGACGAAGAACUCCGAUUGCGAAGGCAGCUGACGGGAGCGCAACUGACGCUGAAGCUCGAAGGUGCGGGUAUCGAACAGGAUUAGAUACCCUGGUAGUCCGCACAGUAAACGAUGGAUGCCCGCUGUUGGUACUUGGUAUCAGCGGCUAAGCGAAAGCAUUAAGCAUCCUACCUGGGGAGUACGCCGGCAACGGUGAAACUCAAAGGAAUUGACGGGGGCCCGCACAAGCGGAGGAACAUGUGGUUUAAUUCGAUGAUACGCGAGGAACCUUACCCGGGCUUGAAUUGCAGAGGAAGGAUUUAGAGAUA
rnacentral:rRNA from 1 species